rnacentral:lncRNA from 1 species
UGGGCGGGCAGCUGUUCUCCGCCAUGGUGGUCCGCAAGCCGGCCCACAGGUUCCUGGACGAGCUGGAGAUCGAGUACGACGAGCAGGACGACUACGUGGUGAUCAAGCACGCCGCCCUCUUCACCUCCACCAUCAUGAGCAAGCUCCUCGCCCGCCCCAACGUCAAGCUCUUCAACGCCGUGGCCGCCGAGGACCUCAUCGUCAAGGGCGGCAGGGUCGGCGGCGUCGUCACCAACUGGGCCCUCGUCUCCAUGAACCACGACACACAAUCGUGUAUGGACCCCAACGUCAUGGAGGCCAAGGUCGUCGUCAGCUCCUGCGGCCACGACGGCCCCUUCGGCGCCACCGGCGUCAAGCGCUUGAAGAGCAUCGGAAUGAUCGACAGCGUGCCCGGGAU